CAAGAAGAGAAGGGUGUGUCCACAGCCCUGCCUUUUACCCGUCCAGCUGUCUCCACCCCUCCUGGGCCCUCUAGGUCCCUCUGUCCUACCCUGACACUCUGUUUCCCAACUCCAUCCUUUCUUCAUGUCAUAUAUUUACCUUAGUCGAAUUUUCGGUUUGUUCCAACAGUAAACCAGGUAUUAUCCGAGUCCCCCUUUACUGUUUGGAGCCCUUAACUUGGACCCCACCAACUACACUGCCUUGAAAGCCUGAAAUACUGCCUGGAAUAUUUGCUGUACCCAGGCUUUGCUACUCUCAGGAUCACAUAUGUCCUCAAAUCCGUCUUAUCUACAGAAUGUUUUUGCCUUACAUUAACCCAGAUAUGAAACUUUAAUUUCCUUUAUACUUACUUCAUUUUGUGAAUGUUGAACAUUACACCAACAAGGAGACAGGAGUCCAGCUCAGAUCUGUCCCGUGUGCUGGCUUUCAUGCAAUCUUUUUAUUAGAAAAGGUUUAGGAGGUGGCCUCUGGGAUUAGUAGGUGAUCUGUGGAAGGAAAGAGGAGGUCUGGGACAUCCUCAGGCAUGCACAGUUUUGUUUAACGCUACUUCAUGGAUCGCAUGUGCACAUUUUGGGGGAGUUAGUUUGAAACAUGGUAGAAAUUUGGCCUAUGACUUCAGCAAGCCUGUUCUGGCCAACUCCAGUUGGCCUUAUUAGUUUUAAUCCAUUUUAGCCGGUUUUUUAAUCUUACAAGCAGAGACAUUUUUGGUGUUUUAGCAACUUGUUGUUUAAUCUGCUAUCCUGUAAACUGAUAAUUUUUGUUAGUCAUUGGCUUUUUAACUCUCUGGGGCAUGGUUUAACUAAUAAUUCAUUAUUUAACAUCUUCAAAACUAAAACGAGUAUAAAAUAAACAUAUAUAAUUAAAACUUCAAGGUUCUUGGGGGUGAAUUUAUAACACUUAUUUUUCUGAAGUUAGUGAAGUUUAAACUGUUCAAAGACCUUUGGAACAUGCUCUAUACACAAACACACAUACGCAUCGACCCAAAAAGAAGAAUUCAGGCAAAAUCAAUAUAAAUAGAGAAUUCAUUUGGGUGAAGCUUGAGGAUCGCAACCUGGGAACACAGAUGCAAGUCACCCUAAAUAUACGCUGUAAUUAGCACCAGUUACAAAUGGGUUUUUAAAGUUGAAAAAGCGGACAAGGAGUGGGCUGAUACAAAGUUGUUAUCAGGAAUUCUCAUUGGUUUACAGAAGCGACAUUGAUUAGUGAUUGGCUAUACUUUGUUAAGCUAUAGAGUGUGGGUUAUAUUGUCAAAUGUGGCAUUAUUUGGUUAAUGUCUAGCUACACGUGGCAAUACCAAGCAGUUUCAAGAGAUGAAUACAUAGCUCAAGGAGGAAGUAGGGCCAUGAUUGCUGUCUCAUUUUAAUGUCUAUCUAGGCCUGAUAACUUAAAAGGACUCACAUUCCUCAGAUAAAAUUCCUUUCUUUAUAGACACACCCACGUACCUAUAGUGUGACAAAUCAAUCAGUAUUUUCAAAUCCAAAAUCAAUUAGUUCCUCUUUUAUUUCAAUCUCUUAUUUGUCAUUUGGACCCACAUUUUCUAACUGUACCUCAAAUACACACAGUCCCAGCCCUCCUCAUCAGUUUCAUAACAAGUCUAUGACUCCCUUCAACCAGAUACAAGUUACAGUGUCCUUAGCUAUUGUGAUGUGCCCUGUGCUGUAGCUCAGUAGCUAAGGUAUUGCCCUUUCACACUGGCAGUCAGAUUUGAUUCCCUACUUAGAAAUGUAUUUUCACUAGGUAAAGAAAGCUCUUUAUGGUUCACUGAGGACAAUCCCUUCACAAUCUAGAACCUGAUUGGAUCUUCUGAGAAUAUCAGAGAAAGACUGUCCUUGCCAUCCACACUACAGCAAAACUGGAGCCUUGAACUUUGGGGUCAUAAUCUCACAACUGAGAAGAGUUCCUCCACACUCCUGGAACUGUACCUCCAUUGGUACCCUUAAGGUAAAACUAACCAGGAAAGUUUCUCCCCAGAAGAAGAUGGCAUCCCUGAUGUGAACAGCUUUUCCCAAGAUCACGGAUCAAGACUUCUACUAUCACAAGACUCUUAUCUUUGAAUAUUUUUUCUGUGUUUAUGCCUCUAUGAACAAUAGAAAUGAAAAGGAGGUCUAUUAUGUAAACUUACAGGGUAAACUUUUAUUUGUGAAUGAUUUUGCAGCCAGCCUUAUAUAUGAAUAAACUUAUACUUUAAUUGAUAGAA